GGCGACGUAGCCAAGUGGUAAGGCAGAGGUCUGCAAAACCUCCAUCCCGAGUUCGAUUCUCGGCGUCGCCUCCA
rnacentral:tRNA from 1 species